GAGUUUGAUCAUGGCUCAGAUUGAACGCUGGCGGCAUGCCUUACACAUGCAAGUCGAACGGCAGCAUGAUCUAGCUUGCUAGAUUGAUGGCGAGUGGCGAACGGGUGAGUAAUACAUCGGAACGUGCCCUGUAGUGGGGGAUAACUAGUCGAAAGAUUAGCUAAUACCGCAUACGACCUGAGGGUGAAAGUGGGGGACCGCAAGGCCUCAUGCUAUAGGAGCGGCCGAUGUCUGAUUAGCUAGUUGGUGAGGUAAAGGCUCACCAAGGCGACGAUCAGUAGCUGGUCUGAGAGGACGAUCAGCCACACUGGGACUGAGACACGGCCCAGACUCCUACGGGAGGCAGCAGUGGGGAAUUUUGGACAAUGGGGGCAACCCUGAUCCAGCAAUGCCGCGUGUGUGAAGAAGGCCUUCGGGUUGUAAAGCACUUUUGUCCGGAAAGAAAUCGCACUUACUAAUAUUAGGUGUGGAUGACGGUACCGGAAGAAUAAGGACCGGCUAACUACGUGCCAGCAGCCGCGGUAAUACGUAGGGUCCAAGCGUUAAUCGGAAUUACUGGGCGUAAAGCGUGCGCAGGCGGUUGUGCAAGACCGAUGUGAAAUCCCCGGGCUUAACCUGGGAAUUGCAUUGGUGACUGCACGGCUAGAGUGCGUCAGAGGGGGGGUAGAAUUCCACGUGUAGCAGUGAAAUGCGUAGAGAUGUGGAGGAAUACCGAUGGCGAAGGCAGCCCCCUGGGAUAACACUGACGCUCAUGCACGAAAGCGUGGGGAGCAAACAGGAUUAGAUACCCUGGUAGUCCACGCCCUAAACGAUGUCAACUAGUUGUUGGGGAUUCAUUUCCUUAGUAACGUAGCUAACGCGUGAAGUUGACCGCCUGGGGAGUACGGUCGCAAGAUUAAAACUCAAAGGAAUUGACGGGGACCCGCACAAGCGGUGGAUGAUGUGGAUUAAUUCGAUGCAACGCGAAAAACCUUACCUACCCUUGACAUGCCACUAACGAAGCAGAGAUGCAUUAGGUGCUCGAAAGAGAAAGUGGACACAGGUGCUGCAUGGCUGUCGUCAGCUCGUGUCGUGAGGUGUUGGGUUAAGUCCCGCAACGAGCGCAACCCUUGUCUCUAGUUGCUACGAAAGGGCACUCUAGAGAGACUGCCGGUGACAAACCGGAGGAGGGUGGGGAUGACGUCAAGUCCUCAUGGCCCUUAUGGGUAGGGCUUCACACGUCAUACAAUGGUGCAUACAGAGGGUUGCCAAGCCGCGAGGUGGAGCUAAUCCCAGAAAAUGCAUCGUAGUCCGGAUCGUAGUCUGCAACUCGACUACGUGAAGCUGGAAUCGCUAGUAAUCGCGGAUCAGCAUGCCGCGGUGAAUACGUUCCCGGGUCUUGUACACACCGCCCGUC
rnacentral:rRNA from 1 species